rnacentral:ncRNA from 1 species
CUAUUAUCGAUGAAGGAUCGAGUACUUUGAUUUUCCCCCUUAAAAGAGAGAACUGCCAUGGCUGAAAGCAGUGAAGGAGCAAACAAAGGAAAGACAAUCUGGAGAUGAACAGAAGCAAAGCUGUUCCGUGACCGAGCGUUAAUCGUGAUGAGGAGAAAGCAAUUUCUCGAAUUUAGGUGGUACCGCGUGUGAUAACUCGCCCUUGUG